CCUACGGGUGGCUGCAGUAGGGAAUAUUGCUCAAUGGGGGAAACCCUGAAGCAGCAACGCCGCGUGGAGGAUGAAGGUCUUCGGAUUGUAAAAUCCUUUUGUUAGAGAAGAUAAUGACGGUAUCAAACGCAUAAGCACAGGCUAACACCGUGACAGCAGGCGCGGUAAGACGGCGGGUGCAGGCGUUAUUCGGAAUCACUGGGCGUAAAGAGCGCGUAGGCGGGAUAGCAAGUCUGAUGGGAAAUCCUAGGGCUUAACCAUAGAACUGCAGUUGAAACUGUUAUUCUUGAGUGUGGGAGAGGUAGGUGGAAUUCGUGGUGUAGGGGUGAAAUGCGUAGAGAUCAAGAGGAAUACCGAUUGCGAAGGCGGCCUGCUGGAACAUGACUGACGCUGAUGCGCGAAAGCGUGGGGAGCAAACAGGAUUAGAUACCCGUGUAGUC
rnacentral:rRNA from 1 species